rnacentral:rRNA from 1 species
AUACGGAGGGUGCGAGCGUUGUUCGGAAUUAUUGGGCGUAAAGCGCGUGUAGGCGGUUUGUUAAGUCUGAUGUGAAAGCCCCGGGCUCAACCUGGGAAGUGCAUUGGAUACUGGCAGACUUGAAUACGGGAGAGGGCAGUGGAAUUCCUGGUGUAGGAGUGAAAUCCGUAGAUAUCAGGAGGAACACCGGUGGCGAAGGCGACUCUCUGGACUGUAACUGACGCUGAGGCUCGAAAGCGUGGGGAGC